rnacentral:rRNA from 1 species
GUCUUUAAGAAAUUAAUUUAAAGUCUAAUCUGCCCAAUGAUUUUUUAUUAAAUGGCUGCAGAAUUUUAACUGUACAAAGGUAGCAUAAUAAUUUGUUUUUUAAUUAAAAACUAGAAUGAAAGAUUUAAUGAAAUAUAAGCUAUUUCAAUUAAUUUAUUUUUUAAAAUUAUUAUUUAAGUAAAAAAACUUAAAUAAUCUUUAAAGACGAUAAGACCCUAUAGAAUUUUAUUUAAUAAAUUUUAUUUUAAAAUUUAUUAAAUUUUAUUGGGAAAAUAAAAAAAUUAAAAUAAUUUUUUUUAAAAAUUACAUUAUUUAAUGAUAAUAUAUAUCUUAAUUUUUAAAUUAAAAAAAUUAAUUACCUUAGGGAUAACAGCAUAAUUUUUUUUAAAAGAUCUUAUUAAUAAAAAAGAUUAU